rfam:Salmo salar isolate Sally breed double haploid chromosome ssa18, whole genome shotgun sequence.
UGGCUCAGUUGUUAGAGCAUGGUGUUUGCAACGCCAGGGUUGUGGGUUCGAUUCCCAC